AUGGAGAAAGAGAGCCUCAAAAGGACCCACUGUGGAAAGUUUUCCAUUACCACCCAUGUAAAAACACCGCACCAAGAUUCACCUCUCAGCACUGGAUUACAGAGUAACAAAUGUGAGGACAGUGGCAGUAAGAGUCAGAUCUCCCAGAGAUUCUGCAGCAAAGAACAACCAAAAGAAUUUCAUUAUAGAUAUGACACUCCAGGGCAGGAUGACUUAAAUCACAAUGGACGAUAUACAUCUGCUCAGUCCCUCUUCUUACAUGGAAAUAAAAUGUCUUCAUCUUCUUGUUCAACAUCAAAGUCGACAUGUUCCCAAAGAGUAAACUCAGAAUCCUUUCAAGAUGAGCAAGAUACCACGACAGGAAAGACUUACCUGAUCUGUAACACAGACCCUGCAACACCCUCAGUCCACCUCCGUUUCCUCAGGAUUCCUGGAAUCCAAUCCUUGUGUGACGGGAAUAGCAUGGAAGAAACGGAAUCUAAGAUUUUAAACUCGGCUUUGGAUCAUGCCUUAAAGACAGCAACCACAUUGAAAAAAACCACUGACCAAAUGAUUAAAUCCAUUGGAGAAGACCUCGCCAAAGCACAGCGAUGGAGGCACCAACUAAAACACUGCUAGCGCCAGGCAAGGGACCAAGGGUUAAAAUGUUUGGUCUUCUUCUCCAAAGUAUUUUACUUAAGGCACAAUGUAGGAAAAUGGCCCUCUAGAGAAAACACUAAAACUGUGAGAAUGAACCACACCAAGUGAUUAAAUGAAACAAAACAAAAACAAAAAACAAACAGCCCUCUGGCAUUUAUGUAUUUAUGUGAAAUAAAUCUAUGUUCUUCCUAAUUCACAAUAAAAUAACAACAAUAAAACAAAU
rnacentral:lncRNA from 1 species